AAUUGGACCUGAUAUCAG
rnacentral:rRNA from 1 species